rnacentral:rRNA from 1 species
GGAGGAAAGUAGGGGAUCGAAAGACCUUAUGCUUUUGGAGCGGCCGAUGUCUGAUUAGCUAGUUGGUAGGGUAAUGGCUUACCAAGGUGACGAUCAGUAGUUGGUCUGAGAGGACGACCAGCCACACUGGGACUGAGACACGGCCCAGACUCCUACGGGAGGCAGCAGUGGGGAAUUUUGGACAAUGGGCGCAAGCCUGAUCCAGCAAUGCCGCGUGAGUGAAGAAGGCCUUCGGGUUGUAAAGCUCUUUCAGUUGAAAAGAAAAAGCCGUGACUAAUAAUCAUGGUUCAUGACGGUAUCAACAGAAGAAGCACCGGCUAACUACGUGCCAGCAGCCGCGGUAAUACGUAGGGUGCAAGCGUUAAUCGGAAUUACUGGGCGUAAAGGGUGCGCAGGCGGUUCUGUAAGUCAGAUGUGAAAUCCCCGGGCUUA